UACGGAGGGUGCAAGCAUUAAUCGGAUUUAUUGGGCGUGAAGGGCGCGUAGGCGGGAGAGAAAGUUAGAUGUGAAAGCUCGAAGCUCAACUUCGAAAACGCAACUAAAACUACUUUUCUAGAGGAUAGAUGGAGAAAAUGGAAUUCCACGUGUAGCGGUGAAAUGCGUAGAUAUGUGGAAGAACACCGGUGGCGAAGGCGAUUUUCUAAUUUAUUCCUGACGCUGAGGCGCGAAAGCAAGGGUAGCAAACAGG
rnacentral:rRNA from 1 species